AACGAACGCUGGCGGCAGGCCUAACACAUGCAAGUCGAACGAUGUAGCAAUACAUAGUGGCGCACGGGUGAGUAACGCGUGGGAAUGUACCAUUUGGUGGGGAAUAACUCCGGGAAACUGGAGCUAAUACCGCAUACGCCCUUCGGGGGAAAGAUUUAUCGCCAAAUGAUCAGCCCGCGUGAGAUUAGAUAGUUGGUGGGGUAAUGGCCUACCAAGUCUACGAUCUCUAGCUGGUCUCAGAGGAUGAUCAGCCACACUGGAACUGAGACACGGUCCAGACUCCUACGGGAGGCAGCAGUGGGGAAUAUUGGGCAAUGGGCGCAAGCCUGACCCAGCCAUGCCGCGUGAGUGAUGAAGGCUCUAGGGUUGUAAAGCUCUUUCGCCGAUGAAGAAAAUGACGGUAGUCGGAGAAGAAGCCCCGGCUAACUUCGUGCCAGCCGCCGCGGUAA
rnacentral:rRNA from 1 species